UACGUAGGGCGCAAGCGUUAUCCGGAAUUAUUGGGCGUAAAGAGCUCGUAGGCGGCUUGUCGCGUCGACCGUGAAAACUUGGGGCUCAACCCCAAGCCUGCGGUCGAUACGGGCAGGCUAGAGUUCGGUAGGGGAGACUGGAAUUCCUGGUGUAGCGGUGAAAUGCGCAGAUAUCAGGAGGAACACCGAUGGCGAAGGCAGGUCUCUGGGCCGAUACUGACGCUGAGGAGCGAAAGCGUGGGGAGCGAACAGG
rnacentral:rRNA from 1 species